rnacentral:rRNA from 1 species
AUUGAACGCUGGCGGCAGGCCUAACACAUGCAAGUCGAACGGUAGCACAGAGAGCUUGCUCUCGGGUGACGAGUGGCGGACGGGUGAGUAACGUCUGGGAAACUGCCCGAUGGAGGGGGAUAACUACUGGAAACGGUAGCUAAUACCGCAUAACGUCGCAAGACCAAAGUGGGGGACCUUCGGGCCUCACACCAUCGGAUGUGCCCAGAUGGGAUUAGCUAGUAGGUGAGGUAAUGGCUCACCUAGGAGACGAUCCCUAGCUGGUCUGAGAGGAUGACCAGCCACACUGGAACUGAGACACGGUCCAGACUCCUCCGGGAGGCAGCAGUGGGGAAUAUUGCACAAUGGGCGCAAGCCUGAUGCAGCCAUGCCGCGUGUAUGAAGAAGGCCUUCGGGUUGUAAAGUACUUUCAGCGGGGAGGAAGGCGGUGAAGUUAAUAACUUCACCGAUUGACGUUACCCGCAGAAGAAGCUCCGGCUAACUCCGUGCCAGCAGCCGCGGUAA